CUGACGGAGCAAGACCGCGUGAGGGAGGAAGGCUCUUGGGUUGUAAACCUCUUUUCUCAGGGAAGAAGCUCUGACGGUACCUGAGGAAUCAGCCUCGGCUAACUCCGUGCCAGCAGCCGCGGUAAUACGGAGGAGGCAAGCGUUAUCCGGAAUUAUUGGGCGUAAAGCGUCCGCAGGUGGCGAUUCAAGUCUGCUGUCAAAGCACGGGGCUUAACUCCGUUAAGGCAGUGGAAACUGAAUAGCUAGAGUGCCGUAGGGGUAGAGGGAAUUCCCGGUGUAGCGGUGAAAUGCGUAGAGAUCGGGAAGAACAUCGGUGGCGAAAGCGCUCUACUGGACGGCAACUGACACUCAGGGACGAAAGCUAGGGGAGCGAAUGGGAUUAGAUACCCCAGUAGUCCUAGCUGUAAACGAUGGAUACUAG
rnacentral:rRNA from 1 species